CCUACGGGUGGCUGCAGUGGGGAAUAUUGGACAAUGGGCGAAAGCCUGAUCCAGCCAUGCCGCAUGUGUGAAGAAGGCCUUCGGGUUGUAAAGCACUUUCAGUGGGGAAGAAAGCCUUGGGGCUAAUACCCUCGAGGAAGGACAUCACCCACAGAAGAAGCACCGGCUAACUCCGUGCCAGCAGCCGCGGUAAUACGGAGGGUGCGAGCGUUAAUCGGAAUUACUGGGCGUAAAGCGCGCGUAGGCGGUCUGAUAAGCCGGUUGUGAAAGCCCCGGGCUCAACCUGGGAACGGCAUCCGGAACUGUCAGGCUAGAGUGCAGGAGAGGAAGGUAGAAUUCCCGGUGUAGCGGUGAAAUGCGUAGAGAUCGGGAGGAAUACCAGUGGCGAAGGCGGCCUUCUGGACUGACACUGACGCUGAGGUGCGAAAGCGUGGGUAGCAAACAGGAUUAGAUACCCUAGUAGUC
rnacentral:rRNA from 1 species